UACGUAGGUGGCAAGCGUUGUCCGGAAUUAUUGGGCGUAAAGCGCGCGCAGGCGGCCUCUUAAGUCUGAUGUGAAAGCCCCCGGCUCAACCGGGGAGGGCCAUUGGAAACUGGGAGGCUUGAGUAUAGGAGAGAAGAGUGGAAUUCCACGUGUAGCGGUGAAAUGCGUAGAGAUGUGGAGGAACACCAGUGGCGAAGGCGCUCUUUGGCCUAUAACUGACGCUGAGGCGCGAAAGCGUGGGGAGCAAACAGG
rnacentral:rRNA from 1 species